rnacentral:rRNA from 1 species
CACAGAGGGAAAAGGAGCAAUCCGCUUUGAGAUGGCCUCGCGUCCGAUUAGCUAGUUGGUGAGGUAACGGCCCACCAAGGCAACGAUCGGUAGCCGGACUGAGAGGUUGAACGGCCACAUUGGGACUGAGACACGGCCCAGACUCCUACGGGAGGCAGCAGUGGGGAAUAUUGCACAAUGGGGGAAACCCUGAUGCAGCGACGCCGCGUGGAGGAAGAAGGUCUUCGGAUUGUAAACUCCUGUUGUUGGGGAAGAUAAUGACGGUACCCAACAAGGAAGUGACGGCUAACUACGUGCCAGCAGCCGCGGUAAAACGUAGGUCACAAGCGUUGUCCGGAAUUACUGGGUGUAAAGGGAGCGCAGGCGGGAAGACAAGUUGGAAGUGAAAUCUAUGGGCUCAACCCAUAAACUGCUUUCAAAACUGUUUUUCUUGAGUAGUGCAGAGGUAGGCGGAAUUCCCGGUGUAGCGGUGGAAUGCGUAGAUAUCGGGAGGAACACCAGUGGCGAAGGCGGCCUACUGGGCACCAACUGACGCUGAGGCUCGAAAGUGUGGGUAGCAAACAGGAUUAGAUACCCUGGUAGUCCACACCGUAAACGAUGAUUACUAGGUGUUGGAGGAUUGACCCCUUCAGUGCCGCAGUUAACACAAUAAGUAAUCCACCUGGGGAGUACGACCGCAAGGUUGAAACUCAAAGGAAUUGACGGGGGCCCGCACAAGCAGUGGAGUAUGUGGUUUAAUUCGACGCAACGCGAAGAACCUUACCAAGUCUUGACAUCCCUUGACAGGCAUAGAAAUAUGUUUUCUCUUCGGAGCAAGGAGACAGGUGGUGCAUGGUUGUCGUCAGCUCGUGUCGUGUGAUGUUGGGUUAAGUCCCGCAACGAGCGCAACCCUUAUGGUCAGUUACUACGCAAGAGGACUCUGGCCAGACUGCCGUUGACAAAACGGAGGAAGGUGGGGAUGACGUCAAAUCAUCAUGCCCUUUAUGACUUGGGCUACACACGUACUACAAUGGCGUUAAACAAAGAGAAGCAAGACCGCGAGGUGGAGCAAAACUCAGAAACAACGUCCCAGUUCGGACUGCAGGCUGCAACUCGCCUGCACGAAGUCGGAAUUGCUAGUAAUCGUGGAUCAGCAUGCCACGGUGAAUACGUUCCCGGGCCUUGUACACACCGCCCGUCACACCAUGAGAGCCGGGGGGACCCGAAGUCGGUAGUCUAACCGCAAGGAGGACGCCGCCGAAGGUAAAACUGGUGAUUGGGGUGAAGUCGUAACAAGGUAGCCGUAGGAGAACCUGCGGCUG